AAGUUAUGAUUUUGAUAAAUGUAUUUACUUUUAAUUUUCACAGAAAUAUUUCGAAUAAAAGUUUAAAACCAGGUACAAACUCGCGCCUGACUGUAUAAUUUGUGAAUUUCAGUGAAGUUUGGAAAAAAAUAUAUAAUGUGCCAAACUAUAGUGACGUUUUCGAAGGUACUUUGAAACUAUUAUUUUCGGAAUAUUAAGAGUUAUAAAGGUUGUUACGAACCACUCCCUAACAUCUCCACCAACCAUUAUAUAAAUCAUUAUACUUGGCCUAAAAUAGCCCCCAAAGAAAUUCCCCAAUUUAUUUAGGCCCAAGACCAAAGAUAACUUUUGGUGCGGGUAUAUAUGUAUACCGGAAUAUACAUAAGUCAAAAUUAUGAGAUUCCUCGUGUUGAUGACGCUGGCAAGCUGGUGGAUAAAAUAAAGGAAUUUGCCGACGAAGACCGAUAAAAGUAUUAAAGAAAUAUUAAAACACACACUAAUUAAGCAUCACUUUUUAAUAAACUAUGAUCGUGCCGUUAGUUUUAAAUCCCGGCAAAUACAGCUGUAUGAUAUAUAGAUAAAGACAAAAGAAGAAAGUCCAUGAAUAUUAAAAAAAAAUAUACAUAAUUUAUGGCUUUCUCCUUUUCUUAUGAAAAAUAUUUAUUAACGAUAACAAUGCAAUAAAAGGUCUAACUUUGUUUUAUCCUAUACGCAAA